rnacentral:SRP_RNA from 1 species
GCCGAGCUCGGUAGCGUGGGCUUGUGAUCCAAGUGGAGGCAUCAGGGUGAUGUGGACAUUGAUCCUGUCCAGAUGGCCGAGUCUUGUGUGACUAAUCUCUGGCUUGCCCGUUCCAAGCCAGGAGCCGAGCCGAGUGAUCCAGGCGAAGGCUUGGGUCACUGAGCUCCUAAAGCGGGGGGCAAUGCGUGAGGCUGGUUUCACAGAGCAGCGAUAACCUCCCCCUCCUGGCAGUGGAAGGUUAACAGGCCGGUGCCACCUGGACUCGUAUGGUCUGAUGGGUUGAUCUAACUGGACCAUCGCCUU